rnacentral:rRNA from 1 species
ACGAACGCUGGCGGCACGCUUAACACAUGCAAGUCGAACGAGAGAAGAGGAGCUUGCUUUUCUGAUCUAGUGGCGGACGGGUGAGUAACACGUGAGCAAUCUGCCUUUCAGAGGGGGAUACCGAUUGGAAACGAUCGUUAAUACCGCAUAACAUAAUUGAACCGCAUGAUUUGAUUAUCAAAGAUUUAUCGCUGAAAGAUGAGCUCGCGUCUGAUUAGCUAGUUGGUAAGGUAACGGCUUACCAAGGCGACGAUCAGUAGCCGGACUGAGAGGUUGAUCGGCCACAUUGGGACUGAGACACGGCCCAGACUCCUGCGGGAGGCAGCAGUGGGGAAUAUUGCACAAUGGAGGAAACUCUGAUGCAGCGAUGCCGCGUGAGGGAAGAAGGUUUUAGGAUUGUAAACCUCUGUCUUCAGGGACGAAAAAAGACGGUACCUGAGGAGGAAGCUCCGGCUAACUACGUGCCAGCAGCCGCGGUAAUACGUAGGGAGCGAGCGUUGUCCGGAAUUACUGGGUGUAAAGGGAGCGUAGGCGGGAUCGCAAGUCAGAUGUGAAAACUAUGGGCUUAACCCAUAAACUGCAUUUGAAACUGUGGUUCUUGAGUGAAGUAGAGGUAAGCGGAAUUCCUAGUGUAGCGGUGAAAUGCGUAGAUAUUAGGAGGAACAUCAGUGGCGAAGGCGGCUUACUGGGCUUUAACUGACGCUGAGGCUCGAAAGCGUGGGGAGCAAACAGGAUUAGAUACCCUGGUAGUCCACGCCGUAAACGAUGAUUACUAGGUGUGGGGGGACUGACCCCUUCCGUGCCGCAGCAAACGCAAUAAGUAAUCCACCUGGGGAGUACGACCGCAAGGUUGAAACUCAAAGGAAUUGACGGGGGCCCGCACAAGCAGUGGAGUAUGUGGAUUAAUUCGAAGCAACGCGAAGAACCUUACCAGGUCUUGACAUCGUAUGCAUAGCUCAGAGAUGAGUGAAAUCUCUUCGGAGACAUAUAGACAGGUGGUGCAUGGUUGUCGUCAGCUCGUGUCGUGAGAUGUUGGGUUAAGUCCCGCAACGAGCGCAACCCUUACUGUUAGUUGCUACGCAAGAGCACUCUAGCAGGACUGCCGUUGACAAAACGGAGGAAGGUGGGGAUGACGUCAAAUCAUCAUGCCCCUUAUGACCUGGGCCUCACACGUACUACAAUGGCUGUCAACAGAGGGAAGCAAAGCCGCGAGGUGGAGCAAACCCCUAAAAGCAGUCUUAGUUCGGAUUGUAGGCUGCAACCCGCCUACAUGAAGUCGGAAUUGCUAGUAAUCGCAGAUCAGCAUGCUGCGGUGAAUACGUUCCCGGGCCUUGUACACACCGCCCGUCACGCCAUGGGAGUCGGUAACACCCGAAGCCUGUAGUCUAACCGCAAGGAGGACGCAGUCGAAGGUGGGAUUGAUGACUGGGGUG